CGAACGGGUGAGUAACGCGUGAGGAACCUGCCUCAAAGAGGGGGACAACAGUUGGAAACGACUGCUAAUACCGCAUAAGCCCACGGCCCGGCAUCGAGCAGAGGGAAAAGGAGCAAUCCGCUUUGAGAUGGCCUCGCGUCCGAUUAGCUAGUUGGUGAGGUAACGGCCCACCAAGGCGACGAUCGGUAGCCGGACUGAGAGGUUGAACGGCCACAUUGGGACUGAGACACGGCCCAG
rnacentral:rRNA from 1 species